rnacentral:lncRNA from 1 species
UUCUUUUUCAGAAUGAAGACAAAAUUAUCUGCCUUACAUCAAUGGAGUGACUUCUCGGUUCCAGCACUGUGGACAAUACAACAUGGCCCCAGACAUUGUCCCUUUAUCCUCAAGCCUCUUGUCCUCUGCAGUGGCAGGAAACUAUUAUUAAGACUCACACCGCCUUCUGUACCAGAAAUCGCAGAGUUGGAGCCAUUCUUAAAAUUCAUCCAACCUCAUCACCUCAUUAUAUAAAUGAAUCCGACCCAGCAAGCUGAGUAAUUUCCAGAGUCAGCGUUACUGGUGUAGAACUACAAAGCAAAGUACUAUUGUGGUAUCUUAUUCACCGAUAAUUUCUCAGCACCACACUGUUGGUUGGAAAAGAAUUAUGUCUUGAAAAGCUGGGGCAACUUCAAGCCACUUAAAAUGAAAAGUAAAACAAAACAAAGGAUAGCGCAACAACUAUACAAGUGAAAGAGAAAGCUGUUUCCAGAUUAUCAGGUAAGGAAGGCUGGCAGGAGGCACCUUCAGAAGGAAGGUGAUGUCAGACGCAAACACAGGGUCAUACUGCCCUCUGGUGGAUAAGAAUAAAAGUGUCUGCUCAGCCCUGAUGUUAAAGUCGAAAGGACUGGAAACUGCUACAAACAAACAAACAAACCCAGGGAAGUCCCCGCUCGAUUUCAGAUAAUGUCUUAGAAGCUGCAUAGAUCUAAACCUUUUUUAUUACUAUGACUACCUUCACAGGAAAAUAGUAAAACAUAGACGUGAAUAAAAUGACCUUUUAAUCAAACUAUAGAUUAGGAGUCUGCUCUAGAACUCUGAAGUUACCCAAUCUCUCUGAGACUCAUUUUCUUCAUCUGUAAAAUGGACAUAAUAGUAGAACGUUCCUUACAGAGUGGUUGUGAGAAUUAAAGAAGAAAAUCUACAUAAAAAGCCCUUAGAAAAAUGCUGGACCUGUAAGAACUCAUAUUAGAGACUAUUACGUUGCUUUUAUCACUGCCAUCUUGGUAACUUUGUAAAAAUAAACCCAUACGUAUAUAACUCAAAUUAUCAAGAAACUGCCAGAAUGGUAUGAUUCUGUGCAUUUCUCCACAUGUUCUACUACUUCUGUGAGAAGUGUCUGUAUAUUUACCUUGAUGUUCUAUAUGUUUACCUUGAUGUUCAUUCCCCACUUCUAAAUAUGCCAUAA